rnacentral:pre_miRNA from 1 species
AACAUACUCCCUCCGUUCGGAAUUACUUGUCUUGAAAAUGAAUGUAUUUAAAACUAAAAUACGUUUAGAUACGUCCAUUUUCGCGACAAGUAAUUUCGAACGAAGGGAGUAGUAC